rnacentral:tRNA from 2 species
GGAUGUAGCUUAGUUGGUUAAAGCGCCAGAUUGUGGCUCUGGAGAUCGUGGGUUCGAGUCCCAUCUUC